GAUGAACGCUGGCGGCGUGCUUAAUACAUGCAAGUCGAGCGAACAGACGAGGAGCUUGCUCCUCUGACGUUAGCGGCGGACGGGUGAGUAACACGUGGAUAACCUACCUAUAAGACUGGGAUAACUUCGGGAAACCGGAGCUAAUACCGGAUAACAUGUUGAACCGCAUGGUUUAACAGUGAAAGACGGUUUUGCUGUCACUUAUAGAUGGAUCCGCGCCGCAUUAGCUAGUUGGUAAGGUAACGGCUUACCAAGGCAACGAUGCGUAGCCGACCUGAGAGGGUGAUCGGCCACACUGGAACUGAGACACGGUCCAGACUCCUACGGGAGGCAGCAGUAGGGAAUCUUCCGCAAUGGGCGAAAGCCUGACGGAGCAACGCCGCGUGAGUGAAGAAGGUCUUCGGAUCGUAAAACUCUGUUAUUAGGGAAGAACAAAUGUGUAAGUAACUAGGCACGUGUUGACGGUACCUAAUCAGAAAGCCACGGCUAACUACGUG
rnacentral:rRNA from 1 species